GCACUCAUAGCUUAAUCGGAUAGAGCAUCUGGCUUCGAACCAGAGGGUUAGAGGUUCAAAUCCUCUUGAGUGCG
rnacentral:tRNA from 1 species